GAUGAACGCUGGCGGCGUGCCUAAUACAUGCAAGUCGAGCGAACAGACGAGGAGCUUGCUCCUCUGACGUUAGCGGCGGACGGGUGAGUAACACGUGGAUAACCUACCUAUAAGACUGGGAUAACUUCGGGAAACCGGAGCUAAUACCGGAUAAUAUAUUGAACCGCAUGGUUCAAUAGUGAAAUACGGUUUUGCUGUCACUUAUAGAUGGAUCCGCGCCGCAUUAGCUAGUUGGUAAGUUAACGGCUUACCAAGGCAACGAUGCGUAGCCGACCUGAGAGGGUGAUCGGCCACACUGGAACUGAGACACGGUCCAGACUCCUACGGGAGGCAGCAGUAGGGAAUCUUCCGCAAUGGGCGAAAGCUUGACGGAGCAACGCCGCGUGAGUGAUGAAGGUCUUCGGAUCGUAAAACUCUGUUAUUAGGGAAGAACAAAUGUGUAAGUAACUAUGCACGUCUUGACGGUACCUAAUCAGAAAGCCACGGCUAACUACGUG
rnacentral:rRNA from 1 species